AGCGUCCGACAGGGGAGCGCCGGGGGCCAGAGCCGGAGGCGCUGAGAGUGCGGGAGAGCCGCAGACCCUCGAACCUGCUCCGGUUAGUACCGGCGAAGGAAGUCGAAGGAGACUCCCG
rnacentral:ncRNA from 2 species